rnacentral:rRNA from 1 species
CAGUAGCCGCGGUAAUACGAAGGGGGCUAGCGUUGUUCGGAAUUACUGGGCGUAAAGGGCGCGUAGGCGGCCAUUCAAGUUAGAUGUGAAAGCCCUGGGCUCAACCUAGGAAUUGCAUUUGAUACUGUUUGGCUUGAGUUCGGGAGAGGUGAGUGGAAUUCCCAGUGUAGAGGUGAAAUUCGUAGAUAUUCGGAAGAACACCAGUGGCGAAGGCGGCUCACUGGACGACUGUUGACGCUGAGGUACGAAAGCGUGGGGAGCAAACAGGAUUAGAUACCCCCGUAGUCCCUGUCUCUUAUAC